rnacentral:rRNA from 1 species
UACGGAGGAUCCGAGCGUUAUCCGGAUUUAUUGGGUUUAAAGGGUGCGCAGGCGGGAGAUUAAGUCGGCGGUGAAAUUUUGCAGCUCAACUGUAAAAGUGCCUUCGAAACUGGUUUCCUUGAGUGUAGAUGAAGUAGGCGGAAUUCGUGGUGUAGCGGUGAAAUGCAUAGAUAUCACGAGGAACUCCGAUUGCGCAGGCAGCUUACUAAACUACUACUGACGCUCAGGCACGAAGGCGUGGGGAUCAAACAGGAUUAGAUACCCCUGUAGU